rnacentral:rRNA from 1 species
GAUGAACGCUGGCGGUGUGCCUAAUACAUGCAAGUCGAACGCAUUGUGGUUGAAAUGAUAUGAAGAACUUGUUCAGAUUUGAUUUUCAACAUUGCAAUGAGUGGCGAACGGGUGAGUAACACGUGGGAAACCUACCUCUUAGCAGGGGAUAACAUUUGGAAACAAAUGCUAAUACCGUAUAAUAAUUAAAACCGCAUGGUUUUAGUUUAAAAGAUGGUCUUGCUAUCACUAAGAGAUGGUCCCGCGGUGUAUUAGUUAGUUGGUGAGGUAAUGGCUCACCAAGACAAUGAUACAUAGCCG